GAAAGCUAAGCUGAAAAAAUAAUAGAGAUGAUUGAUUUUGUGACAGAGAUUAAGAUUUGAGAGAAAGCAAAGCUGAAAAAAUAAUAGAGAUGAUUGAUUUUGUGACAGAGAUUAAGAUUUGAGAGAAAGCAAGGCUGAAA